UGCAGCAACGCCGCGUGAGGGAUGACGUGCCUUCGGGUUGUAAACCUCUUUUAGUAGGGAAGAAGCGAAAGUGACGGUACCUGCAGAAAAAGCACCGGCUAACUACGUGCCAGCAGCCGCGGUAAUACGUAGGGUGCAAGCGUUGUCCGGAAUUAUUGGGCGUAAAGAGCUCGUAGGCGGUUUGUCGCGUCUGCUGUGAAAUCCCGAGGCUCAACCUCGGGCUUGCAGUGGGUACGGGCAGACUAGAGUGCGGUAGGGGAGAUUGGAAUUCCUGGUGUAGCGGUGGAAUGCGCAGAUAUCAGGAGGAACACCGAUGGCGAAGGCAGAUCUCUGGGCCGUAACUGACGCUGAGGAGCGAAAGCAUGGGGAGCGAACAGGAUUAGAUACCCUGGUAGUCCAUGCCGUAAACGUUGGGCGCUAGAUGUAGGGACCUUUCCACGGUUUCUGUGUCGUAGCUAACGCAUUAAGCGCCCCGCCUGGGGAGUACGGCCGCAAGGCUAAAACUCAAAGGAAUUGACGGGGGCCCGCACAAGCGGCGGAGCAUGCGGAUUAAUUCGAUGCAACGCGAAGAACCUUACCAAGGCUUGACAUACACCGGAAACGGCCAGAGAUGGUCGCCCCCUUGUG
rnacentral:rRNA from 1 species